AAACCGCUUAGGGGUUAAGCCCGAUGAACCUGAAUAUCUGAAAUAAGAAAUUCAAUACUAUUUAGUAGCUUAGGCAAACAAUGGUAUGCACUUUUCUUAAAGUAAGACAUUGCAAUCCAUUAGUAUAUCUAUUUAUAGAUGGUUUAUCAAACGGCCCGUAUAGUUUGUUUAUUCUAUCUGUGACACUUGUUGUCAUAUGAAUAAUGCUAUUGCGGUGACCUGGUAAACAGCUGAUGGAGUUUAAAAAUCAUGCAAACAUGCAUAUGUAUCACGGUUUGUGUAUUUUUAAUAUAUAAAUAUAAGUGAUAGCAUGUAUUUGAUUAGCAAUGCGAUAGAUUUAGGAUACCUUCGGGACCCGUCUUGAAACACGGACCAAGAAGUCUAACAUGUAUGCGAGUCAUUGGGUAUUUGUUGAAACCUAAAGGCGUAAUUAAAAUAACUAUUUUAAUGGGAUUACAAGUGAUUUAAUAUAUUGCUUCUCCAUCCCGGGGCGUUCUAUACGAACAUGAUUUAAGAAAUUAGAUCCUCUGUUCAAGAGCGUACCUUGAGCAUACAUGCUGUGACCCGAAAGAUGGUGAACUAUACCUGAUCAGGUUGAAGUCAGGGGAAACCCUGAUGGAGGACUGAAGCAGUUCUGACGUGCAAAUCGAUUGUCAGAAUUGGGUAUAGGGGCGAAAGACCAAUCGAACCAUCUAGUAGCUGGUUCCCUCCGAAGUUUCCCUCAGGAUAGCUGGUGCAAAUAAUAUUGAUAAUUAAUCUUAUCUGGUAAAGCGAAUGAUUAGAGGCCUUGGGGUCGAAACGAUCUCAACCUAUUCUCAAACUUUAAAUGGGUAAGAGCCUCAUCUUUCUUGAUAUGAAGAUAUUGAGGUUUAGAUAUAUUGUGCCCAGUGGGCCACUUUUGGUAAGCAGAACUGGCGCUGUGGGAUGAACCAAACGUGAUGUUACGGCGCCUAAAUUAAUGACUCAUGUUGAUACCAUGAAAGGCGUUGGUUGCUUAAAACAGCAGGACGGUGGACAUGGAAGUCGUAAUCCGCUAAGGAGUGUGUAACAACUCACCUGCCGAAGCAACUAGCCCUUAAAAUGGAUGGCGCUUAAGUCAUAUGCCUAUACAUCACCGCUAAAAUAAAAGAAUUUUAAUUUCGGUUAAAAUUCAUAAAAUUUUAGUGAGUAGGAGGGUACAAUGGUGUGCGCAGAAGUGUUUGGCGUAAGCCUGCAUGGAGCCGCCAUUGGCACAGAUCUUGGUGGUAGUAGCAAAUAAUCGAAUGAGAUCUUGGAGGACUGAAGUGGAGAAGGGUUUCGUGUGAACAGUGGUUGAUCACGAAUAAGUCGGUCCUAAGCUCUAUGCGAAAGCAGUUUAAUUUAUGUU
rnacentral:rRNA from 1 species